AGAAGGGCUUCCACGACUUGGUCGUUUGGGGGCCUUUUUCUUUUUGC
rfam:Rhizobium sp. PDO1-076 strain PDO-076 ctg330, whole genome shotgun sequence.